AUGAAGUCGGAGUUGCUAGUAAUCGCAGAUCAGCAUUGCUGCGGUGAAUACGUUCCCGGGCCUUGUACACACCGCCCGUCACGUCACGAAAGUCGGUAACACCCGAAGCCGGUGGCCCAACCCCUUGUGGGAGGGAGCUGUCGAAGGUGGGACUGGCGAUUGGGACGAAGUCGUAACAAGGUAGCCGUACCGGAAGGUGCGGCUGGAUCACCUCCUUUCUAAGGAG
rnacentral:rRNA from 1 species